AUUUUAUGUAUAUGAGUACACUGUAACUGUCUUCAGACACACCAGAAUAUGGCAUUGGAUCCCAUGACAGGUGGUUGUGAGUCACCAUGUGGUUGCUGGGAAUUGAACUCAGGACCUCUGAAGAUUAGUCAGUGCUCCUAACCAUUGAGCCAUCUUUCCAGACCCCUAAAUUAAGGUUCUUAAGUAUAAUUCCAAUUAAGGAGACUAAAUAGCAAGAUGUAGCAGCAUAGGUGGUUUGGAAACGAAAUUUUCCUUUGAAAAAAGCCUGUGAGAAAAAUACAGCGACUGACUGCUUACUGGGUGAACUGGUGUCCUGCUAUCUGACACACAUCCUUAAUGUAGUCAGGUAGGAUGGCUCCUCUGCUGCUCAGCAGACAGUUUGGAGAGCUUUCUCUGCACUUCCCACUAUCACAGGUAUUAUGGGGCAAAACUGGGGGAAACACUGGGGGUAUAAUAGUGCAGGUCUAGUAAGGGGAGAACACGUUGCCUUGAUUCCUAAGUCACAGGGCUGCGUGGCAGGGAAAUCAACAUGGGACCACCUUCUCUAGGGAAAGUGGCUCGUAAGAGUUGGGAAGUGUUCCCACUCUGGCUGGUGGCAUUAUUGCAAGGUUUAUGCCAUAUAUAUAUCUCAAGAAAGGGU
rnacentral:lncRNA from 1 species